rnacentral:rRNA from 1 species
GUGGGGAAUAUUGCACAAUGGGCGAAAGCCUGAUGCAGCGACGCCGCGUGGGGGAUGACGGUCUUCGGAUUGUAAACCCCUUUCAGUAGGGACGAAGCGCAAGUGACGGUACCUGCAGAAGAAGCACCGGCCAACUACGUGCCAGCAGCCGCGGUAAUACGUAGGGUGCGAGCGUUGUCCGGAAUUACUGGGCGUAAAGAGCUCGUAGGCGGUUUGUCGCGUCGUCCGUGAAAACUCGGGGCUUAACUCCGAGCUUGCGGGCGAUACGGGCAGACUUGAGUACUACAGGGGAGACUGGAAUUCCUGGUGUAGCGGUGAAAUGCGCAGAUAUCAGGAGGAACACCGGUGGCGAAGGCGGGUCUCUGGGUAGUAACUGACGCUGAGGAGCGAAAGCAUGGGUAGCGAACAGG